GAACAAUGUUGUAACUGCAGUGAACCAAAACAGUUGCGCACCGGAGGGAAACAAAAUCAUUAUUCUUGAGGCAAUAGGGAAGGGGCAGCAAUGGGAGGGAAUACUUCACAUGAUGGUGCUGCUUCACAUGCCUACAGCCAUAAUGACAGCCAUAAUGACAGCCACAAUGACAGCCAUAAUGACAGCCAUGAUGACAACCGUGUUGACAAAAGUCAACACAUAACAGGCCAAAAUAUAUCAGGCCAAAAAAUAUCAGGCGAUAUGAAAGGCAAUUUUACCAUUGGCAACCAGACCAACACCACCAGUAAUUCCGCUUCACCAAAAACUCCCCCAAAAACUGUCGUACCCAGCAUCACCAUUGCCAACGUUACAGGCGGCAAAGUGCGUCUCUACUACAAGUCAGAGGAGAUGGCUCUCAGUGACCUCAUCAAGGGAAGUCAUCUCAGCAAGGGGGACUCCAUUAUCAUCCUGGAUGGCACCGUUAAGACGACCAACCUCCCUCAGAGCCUCUAUGUCACUGGCUUCCAAGUAGAAAAUGACAAUACUCAAUCAUGUCCUGAGGAAGGCCCAAUUUAUGGUCUGGACAACCUCCUGGCAGAGUAUGAUGACGGUCACCCCAAGUCCUACAUCCUCACUGCCGACAAAGGGGUGAAGGUAGCUGAAACAGGAAAGAUCUGGGUGGAUGAGGACGGGGUGGAUCACAACCCCAACAAGUAACGCCACCAGGGACCCUCCUGUAUCUUAACACCCUUUAUUAAUCACAGA
ensembl:lncRNA